AUACGGAGGGUGCGAGCGUUAAUCGGAAUUACUGGGCGUAAAGCGUGCGUAGGCGGUUUGCUAAGUCAGAUGUGAAAGCCCCGGGCUUAACCUGGGAACUGCAUUUGAUACUGGCAGACUAGAGUAUGAUAGAGGGGGGUAGAAUUCCUGGUGUAGCGGUGAAAUGCGUAGAUAUCAGGAGGAAUACCAGUGGCGAAGGCGGCCACCUGGAUCAAUACUGACGCUGAGGUACGAAAGCGUGGGGAGCGAACAGGAUUAGAAACCCUAGUAGUCC
rnacentral:rRNA from 1 species